UGCUCCCUGAUGUUAGCGGCGGACGGGUGAGUAACACGUGGGUAACCUGCCUGUAAGACUGGGAUAACUCCGGGAAACCGGGGCUAAUACCGGAUGGUUGUUUGAACCGCAUGGUUCAGACAUAAAAGGUGGCUUCGGCUACCACUUACAGAUGGACCCGCGGCGCAUUAGCUAGUUGGUGAGGUAACGGCUCACCAAGGCGACGAUGCGUAGCCGACCUGAGAGGGUGAUCGGCCACACUGGGACUGAGACACGGCCCAGACUCCUACGGGAGGCAGCAGUAGGGAAUCUUCCGCAAUGGACGAAAGUCUGACGGAGCAACGCCGCGUGAGUGAUGAAGGUUUUCGGAUCGUAAAGCUCUGUUGUUAGGGAAGAACAAGUGCCGUUCAAAUAGGGCGGCACCUUGACGGUACCUAACCAGAAAGCCACGGCUAACUACGUGCCAGCAGCCGCGGUAAUACGUAGGUGGCAAGCGUUGUCCGGAAUUAUUGGGCGUAAAGGGCUCGCAGGCGGUUUCUUAAGUCUGAUGUGAAAGCCCCCGGCUCAACCGGGGAGGGUCAUUGGAAACUGGGGAACUUGAGUGCAGAAGAGGAGAGUGGAAUUCCACGUGUAGCGGUGAA
rnacentral:rRNA from 1 species